AAGUCGUAACAAGGUUUCCGUAGGUGAACCUGCGGAAGGAUCAUCAUCGAAUUCAUAUCCCCCUCCUCUCCCGGAGGGGGACCCAUGAUAAACCCUUCUGUGCACCGUAAACCGUUCACUUUGGCAGGCUUUGGUGGUGAGCGUGAGCUCGCCUCCAACCUCGCGUUCCCUCCCUAAGGGAGUUUUACGCGUGGCGGCCUGCCGGAGUCCCAUUAAAAAACUCGUUUUCGAACACGUCUGAAAAUUUCCUUUGAGAAAUCAAAGAACCGAAAACAACUUUCAACAACGGAUCUCUUGGCUCUC
rnacentral:misc_RNA from 1 species